CCACGCCCGCCGCCGCUGCCGCCGCGUCCCGGACACCAGCCGGCCGAGCCCCACCCGGUCCAGCCAGACCUGCCCGGCCCUGCCCAGCCCUCCGCCCCUCCGCCCCGGCCCGCCAGGUUCCUGGGGGUACAAUCAAGAUCAUCAUAUCAUGGAGCUUAUAUAUGAAAAGAGGAAAGUCAUUGAUACCUGCUUCUUAGAUGACCAGUGGUGCUAACAUGACCAGCCUAGCAAGGCUCCUCUGCCUUCUGCGAUGUCUGGGAGAAAUGAGGGGGACUCGGAGUCACAGGCCCCCGGGGCCACAGCAUGAAGAAGAAGGAGAAGCCCUGACUGGUAUGUGCCAGAGACAUCUUACGUGGGAUUCUAGGCUCAGCAGUUUCUCUCCACUGACUUUACGGGAGGAUAAACUUGGCAAAAUUCUAUUCAUCCUCCAAAAGCCAAUGAGGUUUUACAUCCUCCAGUAAACUUCCAGGAAGGCGCCUAAGUGGCAUUCUUUUGCUUGUAUUUUCAGUUUCUGGUCACUUGUGGCCACAGCCUAUGGAGCCUGCUCAUCUACUAGAUCCUCAAGCAUGGAGUCCUGACUCACUGGUCUGGUUUUUUCCAGAACCAGACUCUGGGCCUAAGGCAUAGUAAGGCAGCUCAAAACAUUUGUUGAACUGAAUUAGGGGGAAUUCUUGCUGCCGUAGGAGGAAUAGGAAUAAUGGUGGUAUUAUC